UACGGGGGGGGCAAGCGUUGUUCGGAAUUACUGGGCGUAAAGGGCGCGUAGGCGGCUCAAUCAGUCGGGCGUGAAAGCUCUGGGCUUAACCCAGAAAAGUCGUUCGAUACUGUUGGGCUAGAGUGUGGAAGAGGCUACUGGAAUUCCGUGUGUAGCGGUGAAAUGCGAAGAUAUACGGAGGAACACCUGCGGCGAAGGCGGGUAGCUGGGCCAACACUGACGCUGAUGCGCGAAAGCGUGGGGAGCGAACAGG
rnacentral:rRNA from 1 species